UAGCAGCAUGCAGGUGCCCCGAG
rnacentral:piRNA from 1 species